AACGUAGGAGACAAACGUUAUCCGGAGUUACUGGGCGUAAAGGGCGUGUAGGUGGUGCUGUAAGUCUGGCGUGAAAUUUUUCGGCUUAACCGGGAAAGGUCGUCGGAUACUGCAGGACUAGAGGACGGUAGAGGCGUGUGGAAUUCCGGGUGUAGUGGUGAAAUGCGUAGAGAUCCGGAGGAACACCAGUGGCGAAGGCGGAUCUCUGGGCCGAUACUGACGCUGAGGAGCGAAAGCGUGGGGAGCGAACAGG
rnacentral:rRNA from 1 species